rfam:Eubacterium cellulosolvens 6 chromosome, whole genome shotgun sequence.
UCCAUCGUGAGGUGGAAUCUGAAGGAAGCUAGUCGUAAAAAAACUGGAAGU